rnacentral:rRNA from 1 species
GUCAUACCUAACGGCUGAACCAGCAACUUGAAAGAAUGUAUAGCGAUAGCUAGUUGUUUCUAAUUAAUAAAAGAUGAAGCAAUAUCGAUUUAAUCGAAUAAAGUUCUGGGUAAAAUUAUGAUAAUGACAUUUUUUACUCAUGAGUCUUGACCAAAAUACGUGCCAGCAGUCGCGGUAAUACGUAUAAGACUAGUGUUAUUCAUCUUUAAUAGGUUUAAAGGGUACCUAGACGGCAAAUAAAGCCUUAACAGGAACUUAUUUGCUAGAGUUACUUAUGAGGGAGUUUUAAUGUACUAGAGGUGUAGAGAUAAAAUUCAGUAAUACCUUUUUUCUAACGGAAAACUUCGGCACAGGUGUAGGUGAAAACAUCUCCUUAUGGGAUAACUGACGUUGAGGGACGAAGGCUUUUUACAGCGAACAGGAUUAGAUACCCUGGUAGUCGAAGCAGAAAAUGAUGAGUGUCAUAGAUUAGAUAAACAUUUAUUCUAUAAAUGAAAGUGUAAGCACUCCACCUCAAGAGUAAUUUGGCAACAUUGGAACUGAAAUCAUUAGACCGUGUCUGAAACCAGUAGUGAAGUAUGUUGUUUAAUUUGAUAACCCGCAAAAAACCUUACCACAGCUUGAAUGUCUAUAUAUUUUUAUAUAUUAUAUGAACAGUUAUGUAUAAAAUCCAGCAUAUAUUUUUAUAUGUUAUUUUUGUGCAGGCAUGUGAUUAAAAUAGAGUAAAUUAUAAACACAAGUGUUGCACGGCUGUCUUCAGUUAAUGUCGUAAGACUAUGGUUAGCUCCAGUAAAUUAACGUAAACCCUUAUUCUAUUUUUAAAUAGAAUAGUUCUCCGCUAUAUUGGAUAAGAUAACAGGGAUCAAGACAAGUCAUCAUGGCCUAAAUGCUGUGGGCUAUAGACGUGCCACGUAAGCCUUUACAAAAGGAUGUGAAAUUGUGAAAUUGAGC